rnacentral:rRNA from 1 species
UACGCUGGCGGCACGCCUAACACAUGCAAGUCGAACGCAGUAGCAAUACUGAGUGGCAAACGGGUGAGUAUAAUGUGGGAAUCUGCCUUUUGGUUUGGAAUAACACGGGGAAACUUGUGCUAAUACCGAAUAAGCCCUUACGGGGAAAGUUUUAACGCCGAAAGAUGAGCCUGCACUUGAUUAGCUAGUUGGUAAGGUAAAAGCUUACCAAGGCAACGAUCAAUAGCUGUUCUUAGAGGAAGACCAGCCACAUUGGGACUGAGACACGGCCCAGACUCCUACGGGAGGCAGCAGUGGGGAAUCUUGCACAAUGGGGGAAACCCUGAUGCAGCGAUGCCGCGUGAGUGAAGAAGGCCCUUGGGUUGUAAAACUCUUUCGUCGGGGAAGAAAAUGACUGUACCCGAAUAAGAAGGUCCGGCUAA